GACGAACGCUGGCGGCGUGCCUAAUACAUGCAAGUUGAGCGCUGAAGGUUGGUACUUGUACCAACUGGAUGAGCAGCGAACGGGUGAGUAACGCGUGGGGAAUCUGCCUUUGAGCGGGGGACAACAUUUGGAAACGAAUGCUAAUACCGCAUAAAAACUUUAAACACAAGUUUUAAGUUUGAAAGAUGCAAUUGCAUCACUCAAAGAUGAUCCCGCGUUGUAUUAGCUAGUUGGUGAGGUAAAGGCUCACCAAGGCGAUGAUACAUAGCCGACCUGAGAGGGUGAGCGGCCACAUGGAGACUGAGACACGGCCCACACUCCAACGAGAGGCAGCAGUAGGGAAUCAUCGGCAACAGACGAAAGUCUGACCGAGCAACGGCUCGUGAGUGAAGAGGGUUUUCGGAACGUAAAACCCGGUGGGUAGAGAAGAGCGUUAGUGAGAGUGGAAAUCGCAUCAAGUGACGUGAACUACCCAGAAAGAAACGGCUAACUACGUG
rnacentral:rRNA from 1 species